rnacentral:rRNA from 1 species
UACGUAGGGGGCAAGCGUUGUCCGGAAUCAUUGGGCGUAAAGAGCGUGUAGGCGGCUCGGUAAGUCCGCUGUGAAAGUCCAGGGCUCAACCCUGGAAUGCCGGUGGAAACUGUCGAGCUAGAGUCCGGAAGAGGCGAGUGGAAUUCCUGGUGUAGCGGUGAAAUGCGCAGAUAUCGGAAGGAACGCCGGUGGCGAAAGCGGCGUGCUGGACCUCUGCUGACGCUGAGGCGCGGAGAGCGUGGGGAGCAAACCGGG